rnacentral:rRNA from 1 species
GAUGAACGCUGGCGGCGUGCCUAAUACAUGCAAGUCGAGCGAACGGGCGAGAGGCUUGCUUCUCUGACGUUAGCGGAGGACGGGUGAGUCACACGUGGAUCCCCCACCUAUCUGACUGGGAUCACUUCGGGACACCGGCGCUAAUCCCGGAUAAUCUUUUGCUGCGUAUGGUUCAAAGGUGAAAGUCGGCCUUGCUGUCUCUUCUCGCUGGUUCCGGGCUGCAUUAGCUGGUUGGUAAGGUCCCAGCCUACCACGGCAACGAGGCAUAGCCGACCGGCCAGGGUGAUAGCCCACACGGGAAGGGAACCGCGGUCAUGGCGCCUGCGGGAGGCAGCAGUAGGGAAUCGGCCGCAAUGGUCGAAAGCCUGACGCAGCAACGCCGCGUGAGUGAUGAAGGUGUUCGGAUCGGAAAACCCUGUUAUGAGGGAAGAACAUAUGUGGAAUGAACUGAGCACAGCUUGACGGUACCGAAUCAGAAAGCCACGGCUAACUACGUG